rnacentral:misc_RNA from 1 species
GACAGCCGAAAUGACGAACGGCGGUCAAGCCGUGACGAACGAACAGGGUAAGGCUACCGUCACUUAUACCAAUACCCGCUCCUCGAUAGAAUCAGGAGCGAGACCGGAUACCGUUGAGGCCAGUCUGGAAAAUGGUAGCUCCACGCUUA